rnacentral:rRNA from 1 species
UACGUAGGGGCUAGCGUUGUCCGGAUUUAUUGGGCGUAAAGAGCGUGUAGGCGGCCAGGUAGGUCUGCUGUGAAAACUCGAGGCCUUAACCUCGAGGAUGUCGGCGGAAACCAUCUGGCUAGAGGUCCGGAAGAGGGAGAGUGGAAGUUCCUGGUGUAAGCGGUGAAAUGCGCAGAUAUCGAAGGAAGAACACCCGUGGCGAAGGCGGCUCUCUGGGACGGGUACUGACGCUGAGACGCGAAAGCGUGGGGAGCGAACAGG